GAUGAACGCUGGCGGCGUGCCUAAUACAUGCAAGUCGAGCGAAUGGAUUAAGAGCUUGCUCUUAUGAAGUUAGCGGCGGACGGGUGAGUAACACGUGGGUAACCUGCCCAUAAGACUGGGAUAACUCCGGGAAACCGGGGCUAAUACCGGAUAACAUUUUGAACCGCAUGGUUCGAAAUUGAAAGGCGGCUUCGGCUGUCACUUAUGGAUGGACCCGCGUCGCAUUAGCUAGUUGGUGAGGUAACGGCUCACCAAGGCAACGAUGCGUAGCCGACCUGAGAGGGUGCUCGGCCACACUGGCACUGAGAUACGGGCCAGACUCCUACGGGAGGCAGCAGUGGGGAAUUUUGCGCAAUGGUGGAAACCCUGACGCAGCAACGCCGCGUGAGUGAUGAAGGCCUUCGGGUCGUAAAGCUCUUUUAGUGGGGAAGAAGCCCACCCGGGCUAAUACCUCGGGUGUCUGACGGUACCCACAGAAAAAGUUCCGGCUAACUACGUGCCAGCCGCCGCAGUAA
rnacentral:rRNA from 1 species